AUUACUUGAUGACAGCAAAAGAUCUGAUAU
rnacentral:piRNA from 1 species